AGCAGCCGCGGUAAUUCCAGCUCCAAUAGCGUAUAUUAAAGUUGUUGCAGUUAAAAAGCUCGUAGUUGAAUUUCGGGAUCAAGUCGUCGGUCGUGCUCAGGUACGUACUGGCGUCAUUGAUUUCUCCCUUCUGACGAACCAUGAUGUCAUUAAUUUGGUGUUAUGGGAAAUCAGGACUGUUACUUUGAAAAAAUUAGGUGUUUAAAGCAGGCUCACGCUUGAAUACAUUAGCAUGGAAUAAUGAAAUAGGACGUUCGAUCCUAUUUUGUUGGUUUUAGGAUCAACGUAAUGAUUAAUAGGGAUAGUUGGGGGCAUUAGUAUUCAAUUGUCAGAGGUGAAAUUCUUGGAUUUAUUGAAGACUAACUACUGCGAAAGCAUUUGCCAAGGAUGUUUUCAUUAAUCAAGAACGAAAGUUAGGGGAUCGAAGACGAUCAGAUACCGUCGUAGUCUUAACCAUAAACUAUGCCGACUAGGAAUCGGAUGAUGUUAAUUUUUUCAAUGACUCAUUCGGCGCCUUACG
rnacentral:rRNA from 1 species